rnacentral:ribozyme from 14 species
GAAACAAAAGUGCAACUUAUGAUACACAAAAGUCUAAUUGGGGGGAAAAGGACAUUUAUGUUUCCUUCUUCUUCUUUUUCUUAUUCUUCUUUUGUUUCUUCUUCUUUUCUUGUCUCUUUUUAGCUUGACUUACUAAUUCACGUGCUUU